rnacentral:tRNA from 1 species
CGGUGAUUAGCGCAGUCUGGUAGCGUAUCUGGUUUGGGGCCAGAGGGUCAAAGGUUCAAAUCCUUUAUCACCGACCA